UUAAUUCCUAGAAUCCUGUAAAAACCUGCGAUUUUGCAGGGAUUUCACAAUUUUAUUAAAACACAAUCUUUGUUGUCUUACAAUAAUAUUAGAGUAUAAAAUAAGAAAAGCAAGGUUCUAGGAAAAAUAAAUAAAACCAUUGUUCUAAUACAAUAAAUAAAUGACAACACUUGUAAUAUUCGAACAUAACAUAUAAUGCACAUUUCAAAAACUCAUUCUCUUAUAUGGAAAGUUUUUGCAUUCUUCCGGAUCUUGUACUUAGAGAAUCAGUGACAGUCCAUUCACAUUUUUUAUCAAUGCACUUCAGAUAAAAAGUCUUGUUUGCUAACGGUGGAUAAUCGCGAUCCGUUUCACAUCCAAUAUACACUACAAUGAAGAAAUAUAAUAAAAUAAUGUUGCUAAAACAUGAUAAAAAAAAAAGUUGUGUAUGAACUACAAAGCAAAGAAGGAAAUUCAAAAUGGAUGAAAAUAUGGCUUACAACCACCAACUUCUGAUGUGAUAAGAAAUAAGGAAAGAAAAAGAAUCAUUGCAUAAACAAAUUUGAGAGUUUCAAUCAUAGUUUUU
rnacentral:lncRNA from 1 species